rnacentral:rRNA from 1 species
GGAUUAGAUACCCUGGUAGUCCACGCCGUAAACGAUGGUUACUAGCUGUUCGGAUUUCGGUCUGAGUGGCUAAGCGAAAGUGAUAAGUAACCCACCUGGGGAGUACGUUCGCAAGAAUGAAACUCAAAGGAAUUGACGGGGGCCCGCACAAGCGGUGGAGCAUGUGGUUUAAUUCGAUGAUACGCGAGGAACCUUACCAGGGCUUAAAUGUAGAGUGACAGGUCUAGAGAUAGAUUUUUCUUCGGACACUUUACAAGGUGCUGCAUGGUUGUCGUCAGCUCGUGCUG